CUCAAAUGGGGACUUCCCUACGCCAAUUGCACAUUUGGUUGUACGUGAACUCAGUGAGGUUGACCGGCAGUUUGGAGGUGAUUAGUUCUGCUAAAAUUUAAGCUGUCAUCAACUCAAUUUGCCUAGCCAAAGUCUCCAUCAACGUCUGGAUAGUGGCAAUGCUGUUUCUGAUUUCUCCCAUGG